rnacentral:rRNA from 1 species
GACGUAGGGCGCGAGCGUUGUCCGGAUUUAUUGGGCGUAAAGAGCUCGUAGGCGGCUUGUCGCGUCGUCCGUGAAAACCUGCGGCUCAACUGCAGGCUUGCGGUCGAUACGGGCAUCACUGGAGUUCGGCAGGGGAGACUGGAAUUCCUGGUGUAGCGGUGAAAUGCGCAGAUAUCAGGAGGAACACCGGUGGUGUAGACGGCUCACUGGACCGUAACUGACGCUGAGACACGAAAGCGUGGGUAGCAAACAGG